rnacentral:rRNA from 1 species
AUGCAUGCCUAAGUACAGCUCGGCGGGACACCCUGCCGGGCGAAACCGCAGACGGCUCAUUAAAUCAGUUGUGGUCUAAGUGGGCUUUAGUUUCCUUUUGGAUAACUGUGGAAAAUCCAGAGCUAAUACAUGCUGUGACAGUCCUCAGCCAAGGCCCUCGUGGUUACUAACUGGGGAUGCUUUUAUUAGACCGAGGCGCGCGCAUCGUCGGUGUAGCAUCUGUCUUCAUUGAUGGGGAAGCUGCCGAUUGUGUGUCGCACGUAAGCGCUUAAUGGUGACUCUGGAUAACAUUGAUAAGCGUGCUUUAAUUAGCACGCUGCCUACUUACGAGUGACUGUCCUAUCAGCUAUUAACGUAUGUUAUAUGCUUACGUUGGCUAUGACGGGUAACGGGGAAUCAGAGUUCGAUUCCGGAGAGGCAGCCUGAGAAACGGCUACCACG